UAACGCCAGCCCGGGAAAGGACUCGGGGAGGGUAGAGUUAUGGAGAUACAGCGUGCUUGUAUAUUAUUCUCACGGAGUUGCAAACGAGACGGACGAAGGCUGUUACUUGCGGGUUUUCCUUACCGUCUGGAUUAUCGCCGACUGGACCGCUUCGUCACGGUUCUCGCACUCCGGCAUCAUUUCCGGGUCGUGGGGACCUGGAGCCUAUCCCAAGAGGCUUAGAGCCCGAGGCAGGGUACACCCUGGACUAGGGUUGGGUACCUAUAUAACCGACUGGUUCACGCACUACUGGCUGCCUACCACCACCAGUGCCGGACCCUGAAGGCCGCAGGCAUGCCUGUAGAUGCAGACCAGGAAAAGCUGCUGGGGAACCUGGUGCAGAGAGUCGAGGAUGAUCAAGGAAGUCGAGUGAGACACCUCUCUAAGGAACAUUUUGAAAUUCUCACACCCCACGUAUGAUCAGAGCACACCAUGCAGUAAGUGGUGCAAAUGUAGUCAAGUGCUAAUGAAAUGUUAGGGCUAGGCCACCUGGCAUCUAUUAAACUUUCACCUUAAAAAUGCCCAAGACUCCUAGCAUUCCCACUGACUUUUAUUGCUCAAGUCUUUCUUCAGUCUUCUUAGUACUACUCAUUCAUGCUGACCAUUUUACUACUUUAUUUUAUGUUGUCAUUUCACUUUUACAGCAACAUCUAAGAAAAAAACAAGCACUUUACCACCCGACAAUGCAAACAAACAAAGAAAAAUGAAAAAAAAAAAAAACAGGAAAACCUUGGAAGGGUUCAUGAGAUACCUAUAAGAACAGACUGGUUCACGCACUACUGGCUGCCUACCACCACCAGUGCCAGACCCUGAAGGCCGCAGGCAUGCCUGUAGAUGCAGACCAGGAAAAGCUGCUGGGGAACCCGGUGCAGAGGGUCGAGGAUGACGAGAUGACAGAGGAAGUCGAGUGAGACACCUCUCUAAGGCCCAUUUUGGAAUUCUCACACCCCACUCUUGAUCAGAGCACACCAUGCAGAAAGUGGUGCAAAUGUAGUCAAGUGCUAAUGAAAUGUUAGGGCUAGGCCACCUGGCAACUAUUAAACUUUCACCUUAAAAAUGCCCAAGACUCCUAGCAUUCCCACUGACUUUUAUUGCUCAAGUCUUUCUUCAGUCUUCUUAGUACUACUCAUUCAUGCUGACCAUUUACUCCUUUAUUUUAUGUUGUCAUUUCACUUUUACAGCAACAUCUAAGAAAAAAACAAGCACUUUACCACCCGACAAUGCAAACAAACAAAGAAAAAUGAAAAAAAAAAAAAAAACAGGAAAACCUUGGAAGGGACCAUGAGAUACCUAUAAGAACAGACUGGUUCACGCAUUACUGGCUGCCUACCACCACCAGUGCCAGACCCUGAAGGCCGCAGGCAUGCCUGUAGAUGCAGACCAGGAGAAGCUGCUGGGGAACCCGGCGCAGAGAGUCGAGGAUGACGAGAUAACAGAGGAAGUCGAGUGCGACACCUCUCUAAGGCCCAUUUUGGAAUUCUCACACCCCACUCUUGAUCAGAGCACACCAUGCAGGAAGUGGUGCAAAUGUAGUCAAGUGCUAAUGAAAUGUAAGGGCUAGGCCACCUGGCAUCUAUUAAACUUUCACCUUAAAAAUGUCCAAGACUCCUAGCAUUCUCACUGACUUUUACUGCUCAAGUCUUUCUUCAGUCUUCUUGGUACUACUUAAUUACACUGACCACAAGACAAGCACUUCACAGGGCAUUUUGCCUCAACCCGACAAUCAAAGGAAACAAAAAAAAAAAAAAAGAGAAACAGAACCUUGGAAGGGACCAUGAGAUAAGCAUAAACUGGCCUAUAAGAACAGACUGGUUCACGCACUACUGGCUGCCUACCACCACCAGUGCCAGACCCUGAAGGCCGCAGGCAUGCCUGUAGAUGCAGACCAGGAAAAGCUGCUGGGGAACCCGGUGCAGAGGGUCGAGGAUGACGAGAUGACAGAGGAAGUCGACAACAUCUAAGAAAAAAACAAGCACUUUACCACCCGACAAUGCAAACAAAGAAAAAUGAAAAAAAAAAAAAAACAGGAAAACCUUGGAAGGGACCAUGAGAUACCUAUAAGAACAGACUGGUUCACGCAUUACUGGCUGCCUACCACCACCAGUGCCAGACCCUGAAGGCCGCAGGCAUGCCUGUAGAUGCAGACCAGGAGAAGCUGCUGGGGAACCCGGCGCAGAGAGUCGAGGAUGACGAGAUAACAGAGGAAGUCGAGUGCGACACCUCUCUAAGGCCCAUUUUGGAAUUCUCACACCCCACUCUUGAUCAGAGCACACCAUGCAGGAAGUGGUGCAAAUGUAGUCAAGUGCUAAUGAAAUGUAAGGGCUAGGCCACCUGGCAUCUAUUAAACUUUCACCUUAAAAAUGUCCAAGACUCCUAGCAUUCUCACUGACUUUUACUGCUCAAGUCUUUCUUCAGUCUUCUUGGUACUACUUAAUUACACUGACCACAAGACAAGCACUUCACAGGGCAUUUUGCCUCAACCCGACAAUCAAAGGAAACAAAAAAAAAAAAAAAGAAAAGAGAAACAGAACCUUGGAAGGGACCAUGAGAUAAGCAUAAACUGGCCUAUAAGAACAGACUGGUUCACGCACUACUGGCUGCCUACCACCACCAGUGCCAGACCCUGAAGGCCGCAGGCAUGCCUGUAGAUGCAGACCAGGAAAAGCUGCUGGGGAACCUGGUGCAGAGAGUCGAGGAUGACGAGAUGACAGAGGAAGUCGAGUGAGACACCUCUCUAAGGCCCAUUUUGGAAUUCUCACACCCCACUCUUGAUCAGAGCACACCAUGCAGAAAGUGGUGCAAAUGUAGUCAAGUGCUAAUGAAAUGUUAGGGCUAGGCCACCUGGCAACUAUUAAACUUUCACCUUAAAAAUGCCCAAGACUCCUAGCAUUCCCACUGACUUUUAUUGCUCAAGUCUUUCUUCAGUCUUCUUAGUACUACUCAUUCAUGCUGACCAUUUACUCCUUUAUUUUAUGUUGUCAUUUCACUUUUACAGCAACAUCUAAGAAAAAAACAAGCACUUUACCACCCGACAAUGCAAACAAAGAAAAAUGAAAAAAAAAAAAAACCAGGAAAACCUUGGAAGGGACCAUGAGAUACCUAUAAGAACAGACUGGUUCACGCACUACUGGCUGCCUACCACCACCAGUGCCAGACCCUGAAGGCCGCAGGCAUGCCUGUAGAUGCAGACCAGGAAAAGCUGCUGGGGAACCCGGUGCAGAGAGUCGAGGAUGACGAGAUGACAGAGGAAGUCGAGUGAGACACCUCUCUAAGGCCCAUUUUGGAAUUCUCACUCCCCACUUUUGAUCAGAGCACACCAUGCAGAAAGUGGUGCAAAUGUAGUCAAGUGCUAAUGAAAUGUUAGGGCUAGGCCACCUGGCAACUAUUAAACUUUCACCUUAAAAAUGCCCAAGACUCCUAGCAUUCCCACUGACUUUUAUUGCUCAAGUCUUUCUUCAGUCUUCUUAGUACUACUCAUUCAUGCUGACCAUUUUACUCCUUUAUUUUAUGUUGUCAUUUCACUUUUACAGCAACAUCUAAGAAAAAAACAAGCACUUUACCACCCGACAAUGCAAAAAAACAAAGAAAAAUGAAAAAAAAAAAAAAAAACCAGGAAAACCUUGGAAGGGACCAUGAGAUACCUAUAAGAACAGACUGGUUCACGCAUUACUGGCUGCCUACCACCACCAGUGCCAGACCCUGAAGGCCGCAGGCAUGCCUGUAGAUGCAGACCAGGAGAAGCUGCUGGGGAACCCGGCGCAGAGAGUCGAGGAUGACGAGAUAACAGAGGAAGUCGAGUGCGACACCUCUCUAAGGCCCAUUUUGGAAUUCUCACACCCCACUCUUGAUCAGAGCACACCAUGCAGGAAGUGGUGCAAAUGUAGUCAAGUGCUAAUGAAAUGUAAGGGCUAGGCCACCUGGCAUCUAUUAAACUUUCACCUUAAAAAUGUCCAAGACUCCUAGCAUUCUCACUGACUUUUACUGCUCAAGUCUUUCUUCAGUCUUCUUGGUACUACUUAAUUACACUGACCACAAGACAAGCACUUCACAGGGCAUUUUGCCUCAACCCGACAAUCAAAGGAAACAAAAAAAAAAAAAAAGAAAAGAGAAACAGAACCUUGGAAGGGACCAUGAGAUAAGCAUAAACUGGCCUAUAAGAACAGGUGAUUUCCAGUCUUUCUACAUAAAUUGUAAUCUUUUAUAUACAUCUCAUAUAUAGAUAGAUAGAACACGGAAGGUUCGAAACACGGAAGGAACACACGAGAACCAGAAUUCACGAGUACGAACAAUCUCGGCGUUUAACAAGCAUGUAUGCAGUCUAGGGCUGGCCCAGAAUAUAUAUUUGGAGGGAUGGCAUUAGAUUUUUAAUUUUGAGAUUCGAAUAUUCGGGGAAAAAAAAAACAAAAAAAACCCUAAUUUAACCUGUGACAUCAAUCCCUGUGAAACGGUUCUCAUUCGCGCUUAAAUGACUAGCCCUUGCUGCAAACUUGAGUCAUGCACACUUGGUCCGCGACCGGCACUAGGACCCGGAAAUAAUACGGACGCGAACCAGGAAGCAUAAAAGGAGAUAAGAUCACUCAGUCAUUAAGUUUGCCGGUGUCGCUUCGGACGCUUUCGCCGAGUGUGUGUUAAUCGGACGCAGAUUAAAUUGUGUUUAUCCCUUGCUCCCCAUUCGAGAGAGUCCUUAAAACAAUUGCGUGGUUAUCCUGCCUACUCAUGUUACUCCGUGUUUGGGUUUACCAUCCACGCUACAAAGGGCUAACCGUUAAAGCUACUUCUUCUGGUCUACUUGGGUUAGUUCAUGACAACUUGCCUGUAUCCAUAUUACACAAAAAUGCAAAAAAAUUAAAUAAAUGCACUCCUUUGUGUCCGCAGCAUUUGGAUGAACUGUUCUCGACAUAAAAAUGCAACAGAGACACACACAGAAAGAUUCCUGCCUUUAUUAGAGAUUUGAAUAUACUCAGCCCCCUCCCACUGAAACUUCGAGUAUUCGAUGUUGAUCACUACCGAAUACUCAAAGCUCAAAAAAUAGUAUUCGGACCAGCCCUAAUGCGGUCUUAUGAAAACUACGCUCUUUGGCAGAACAGGCAUUUUGGUUGCGCCCAGGUGAGUAGGUCGUCGCAUAAUUAUGUUCUGCAGACAAGUUUCCUACUCAUAUACAGUGGAACCUUGAAUUGCGAGUUACUCAAUCAUUUUGCAAGACAAGCAAAACAUUUUUUUAAUUAAUUUUAAGUGAGUGAGGUCUUGAAAUGUGAAUAGUAUUCAUGCGCUUUGUCUGCCGAGCGUCACGUGAUCACAACUAAGCCAGUGGUUCUUGGUUGUGUUACAAGUGCACUUCACAGGGUGCUGCCUACUCAGUGAUAGGAACUUUCAUAAGCAAAACCAUUCGGAACACCCUGCGAAGUCACCAGCGCAGACAUCACUUCCACCGUGCAUUACCAUGGUAACAUAAGCUACUGUCGUUGCUGCAAUAGAAAUUUCAAACUUCAGACAUUAAAUAUUGAAUAUUUAUUAAAACAAAAACUGAUACC